UGCUGGAGCGCUCAUGGACGUGCGACCUGGAUAUUUCUAGCAAGUCAUUCAUUCUGUCUUCUCGUCAGCCACUGCAUGGCUGCCAGAAUGCAUUGACGGACAUGCAGAACAUCGCAACACGGNNNNNNNNNNAAGUAAGACAGCGGGAUGGUUUUGGAUACGGGAAACGAUGGCUCGGCAGUCAGAACGAUCAGCUGCGACAAUUGAUGGAAUCCUGAGCGCGGCGAAAAAGCU
rnacentral:misc_RNA from 1 species